GACGAACGCUGGCGGCGUGCCUAAUACAUGCAAGUCGAACGCACUCUCGUUUAGAUUGAAGGAGCUUGCUCCUGAUUGAUAAACAUUUGAGUGAGUGGCGGACGGGUGAGUAACACGUGGGUAACCUGCCCUAAAGGUGGGGGAUAACAUUUGGAAACAGAUGCUAAUACCGCAUAAAACCUAAACACCGCAUGGUGUAGGGUUGAAAGAUGGUUUCGGCUAUCACUUUAGGAUGGACCCGCGGUGCAUUAGUUAGUUGGUGAGGUAAAGGCUCACCAAGACCGUGAUGCAUAGCCGACCUGAGAGGGUAAUCGGCCACACUGGGACUGAGACACGGGCCCAGACCCCUACGGGAGGCAGCAGUAGGGAAUCUUCCACAA
rnacentral:rRNA from 1 species